AACGUAGGGGGCGAGCGUUAUCCGGAUUUACUGGGCGUAAAGCGCACGUAGGCGGCAUCGUAAGUUGGGCGUUAAAGCUCCUGGCUUAACUGGGAGAGGUCGUUCAAUACUGCGGUGCUUGAGGUUGAAAGAGGAGAGCGGAAUUCCCGGUGUAGUGGUGGAAUGCGUAGAUAUCGGGAGGAACACCAGUGGCGAAAGCGGCUCUCUGGUUCACACCUGACGCUGAGGUGCGAAAGCGUGGGGAGCGAACGGG
rnacentral:rRNA from 1 species